rnacentral:rRNA from 1 species
UACGUAGGGCGCAAGCGUUGUCCGGAAUUAUUGGGCGUAAAGAGCUCGUAGGUGGUUUGUUACGUCUGCUGUGAAAACCUAGGGCUUAACCCUGGGCCUGCAGUGGAUACGGGCAGACUAGAGGUAGGUAGGGGAGAAUGGAAUUCCCGGUGUAGCGGUGAAAUGCGCAGAUAUCGGGAGGAACACCUGUGGCGAAAGCGGCUCACUGGACCAUAACUGACGCUGAUGCACGAAAGCUGGGGGAGCAAACAGG